UUUAGGAAGUGGCUUCUCUGAGAGCUCCAGUACUGUGUACAGGGAGCUGGGCCAACGCAGAAUAAGCCUGAGGGACAUUUAAUCAGUCAACAGAGAAUGUAAGUGUCUCAUGGACACAGCUUACAGAAUUAAAACAGGCAGCAACCCUACACUCAGACUACUUGCUCUGAGAUCAGGAGUUCUAAUAAGAAGCAUUUGGAAGACUGAAGCAUUAUAAUGAAAUAUGAUGAUUCUGGGGAAAUAAUUUUGCUUACUGCAUUAUGAGCAGCAAAAAGAUAAACGAGUUUUGGCUGGAAAACAAAAAUGAAUUCCCUUCACCACACAGCAGUAAAAGUAUAACAGAUUGAGCAGCAGAGGCAAGUGACAUGAAACAGAAAAGCUGCUGGCUCUGGAGAACAGUGGAAAAGGUUUACUGAGAAAUAUCAUUUUAAGAAAACAACCUUGAUGCUUUGGGACAACAGCUGCCAGCAUGUUUUAACCCUUGAUAAUAUGUUAGAACAACAGAACAACAGAAGAAAGUGCGGCUGAGCAACAGUGUUUAAUUACUCUUUAAUCUUGACACAAUAAUAACUAAAGAUUUUUUGAAUAGAAUAAAUAAAUAAAAGUGUUGUGUUUCUUUUG